GUGGGGAAUCUUGCGCAAUGGGCGAAAGCCUGACGCAGCCAUGCCGCGUGGAUGAUGAAGGUCUUAGGAUUGUAAAAUCCUUUCACCGGUGAAGAUAAUGACUGUAGCCGGAGAAGAAGCCCCGGCUAACUUCGUGCCAGCAGCCGCGGUAAUACGAAGGGGGCUAGCGUUGCUCGGAUUUACUGGGCGUAAAGGGCGCGUAGGCGGACAUUUAAGUCAGGGGUGAAAUCCCGGGGCUCAACCUCGGAACUGCCUUUGAUACUGGGUGUCUUGAGUGUGAGAGAGGUGAGUGGAACUCCGAGUGUAGAGGUGAAAUUCGUAGAUAUUCGGAAGAACACCAGUGGCGAAGGCGACUCACUGGCUCAUUACUGACGCUGAGGCUCGAAAGCGUGGGGAGCAAACAGGAUUAGAUACCCUUGUAGUCC
rnacentral:rRNA from 1 species